rnacentral:rRNA from 1 species
AUACGGAGGGGGCAAGCGUUGUUCGGAAUUACUGGGCGUAAAGCGCGCGUAGGCGGUUUGUUUAGUUAGGCGUGAAAGCCCUGGGCUCAACCCAGGAACUGCGCUUGAUACUGGCAGACUAGAGUCCGUGAGAGGAGAGUGGAAUUCCCAGUGUAGAGGUGAAAUUCGUAGAUAUUGGGAAGAACACCAGUGGCGAAGGCGGCUCUCUGGACCGGUACUGACGCUGAUGUGCGAAAGCGUGGGGAGCAAACAGGAUUAGAAACCCCAGUAGUCC